rnacentral:rRNA from 1 species
GUGAGGAAUAUUGCGCAAUGGAGGCAACUCUGACGCAGCCAUGCCGCGUGCAGGAAGAAGGCGCUACGCGUUGUAAACUGCUUUUAACCGGGAAGAAACCCCAGGACGUGUCCUGGGUUGACGGUACCGGAGGAAUAAGCACCGGCUAACUUCGUGCCAGCAGCCGCGGUAAUACGAAGGGUGCAAGCGUUAUCCGGAUUCAUUGGGUUUAAAGGGUGCGUAGGCGGAGCGUUAAGUCAGUGGUGAAAUCCUGCAGCUUAACUGGAGACUUGCCAUUGAUACUGGCGCUCUUGAGUGCGCUUGAAGUGGGCGGAAUGUGCCGUGUAGCGGUGAAAUGCUUAGAUAUGGCACAGAACACCAAUUGCGAAGGCAGCUCACUAAGGCGAUACUGACGCUGAGGCACGAAAGCGUGGGGAUCGAACAGGAUUAGAAACCCGGGUAGUCC